ACGAUUGUAGUCUCAAUCGUUGACAGUUAAAACUAUCGAGGAUUAAGCUGGAAAAACAAAAAUAAAAUAUUUCGCUAAGACAAAAUUUCCCACCCAUCAACAGUUUCGGUAAGGCAAAAUUUUCCCCCCAAAUUUCAUUAAGGCGAAAUUCCCCGCCCAUUUUUCAUUUAAGGAAAAAUUUCCUACCCGUUUUUCAAAAUUUCCCCUUUCUUCUCUUUUUCGUCUUCUUCAAUGUUUCUCUUCAGCUGCCCGACAUCUCUAACAUGCUAGGGCUGCUUAAAAUCACUCUCUAAUUAACCGUAACAAUGGUGUUCAAGAACAAACUCUUCUCUUCCAAGAAAUCCUCCGACUUCAGUGGAUCCGACUCUCCUCGAUCCUUCGAAUCCAACUCCCCAAUCCAAUCAAUUCUUGGAAACAAUUGGGAGAAUUGCAAAAAUAGCUUGGAGAGAAACAGAUGUUUGAAGAUUUCGUCUCCAAGAUCAAUUCUCUUCUUCACGAUCAAUUUCCCUCUGCUUCUCCACCUCUUCGCAAUCUGAUUUUGGAGUUAGGGAAAUUCAUUGAGACAGCUCUUCACUUUUCUUUGAAGUUGUUUUGUGAGAACCCUAGUGCCUUAACACAAUGGUGGCCACCAAGAAGACUAAGAAGUCCCAUGAGAGCAUCGACAACAGGCCUACUCGUGUCAUGAAGAGUGGCAAGUACACUUUGGGUUACAAAACUAUGCUUCACACCCUAAGAAGCUCCAAAGCGAAGCUGGUUAUCAUUACCAGCAACCGCCCUCCUUUUCGGAAGUCUGAGAUAGAGUACUAUGUGAUGUUGGCUAAAGUUGGGGUUCACCACUACAAUGGGAUGUGAAAGAAGGAUUGGAUUUUUUUAAGAGGCUACCAGUAGAACAGGGUAUGGUGAGAAGAUAAAGACAACUAUUGAUGUUGUUGCUACUGAUUUUUGCAAAGGUUUUUGAAGAAUUUGAUCCUGUUCCUAUAGAAAGUGCUUCCCUUGCACAAGUUCAUGUUGCUCGUACGCAUGAUGGCAAAAAGUUGUUAAAGUUUUAUUCACUGUUAUUUUUACCUCAAAGUUCAUUUAGUAUGCUAAGCAGAGUCCAAGUUUCCAUGCAAAUUAUGCACAAAUAUAGGACUAGAAUGUUUCCUAAUUGCUUUCUAUGUCAAAAUUAUUUCCUCAAUAUUCAGGUUCAUUAUACUCACAUGACCGAUACUGCAGCUGCAGAUCAUGCCACUGUGGAGCUGAUUGUGAAUACCCUUAAUAAGUUUUUUCCUUCUUUUGACUAUAGAUGGUUGCUUGAUGAAAUGCGUGAAAGUUUGCCCAAGGUCAACUACUUGCUUAUUGCAAAUACUGUUGCUAUGUAACUGAACUUCCGUAGACUUGUUAGAAAUGAAAUUCCUCUAGGUUUCUAUUUUCAAUUAUUUGAAAUGAACUUCUGUAGACUUGGUAGAAUGAAUUGUGCUACUGACUUUGGGUAUUGGAAGACCAUAGGAAAGGAUAGGCCUGUUCACUACAAUAGUUAAGGUGUGGGGAUGAUAAAGACUCUGGCUUUCCACCGAGGUAAAGCUCCAAAAGGUGACCGAACUGAUUGGGUUAUGCAUUUUUGUUUUUGGUUAUGCACACAUGAUAGUGCAAUUUUGGAUUUUUAUUGCUCAUGUUACUAAAAAAUCCAUGUAUGGACUAUUGAUUUAUAUGC